rnacentral:tRNA from 1 species
GCCGAUGUGGCGGAAUGGCAGACGCGGCGCACUCAAAAUGCGCUGUCCGUGAGGGCGUGUGGGUUCGAGUCCCACCAUCGGUACC